ensembl:lincRNA
ACAGGAUUCUUAGCUCAGACCCUGGUCCGCGAUUUCAGCUGCGAAAAACACUGUCUCAUCACCUGUCCGGGAGGCUCCUACUUCACGUCUGGGAACUGUCUGGAGUGUCCGGUCGGCUUUUAUUGCCCAGGUAACACAUCUGCACCCAGAAAAUGCCCUCCUGGUACCUACAACUACCACCCAGGGAAAGAGGCUGUCCAGCACUGUAAGCCUUGUCCCCCCGGCUCUGUGAGCACUGAGCUGGGAGCCGUCUGCAGACCCUGCCCCACCGGCGCUUCCUGCGACCCGGACACUGGCCAGCAGACGCCCUGCGCCCCCGGCCAGCACUCUCCAGAGGGGACCCUGCACUGCCUGGCCUGUCCCGAGGGCUUCGUCUGUCCCGACGGACACCUCCAGGAGGUACAGGACACAUCCAUCCGCACAAAUAUAAAACAUGGAAAUACUAUUGCACACAUACUCACGCCUGGGCUAUCCAGGCUCUGGUGCUGGAGAGCCACAGCCCAGCAGGGCUUAUUAGUCAUCCUGAGAGCUUCGGUUCUGUAGAGAUGCAGAACAUGUUUUGAUCAAAUUUAGUAACUGAAUUGUUUCAGUAACGUCACGCAGGGCCAGACGAGAGAGCUCGAGUUUGAGGGGAUUUUCAUUUCCAAUGAAUCCUUGAACUGCUUUAUUGAACGAUUCACCUGCUGAGGCACUUAAAAGAACAGCUUAAUUGAACAAAAUCACUUAAAAGAUAAUUACUUAAGGAUGACCUACAGUAUAAACCCUGCUGGACUGUGACUCUGCUCUCUGCUCUCCAGGAUUGAACUGGCAGACUGACCAGACAGACUAUUUCUUCGAAACAGCUGAAAGCGGGCCCAAAUCACUUUCAAAAAUACUUAUAUUUACAAAAUACAAGUACUGUCUCUCUUUAUCAAAGCUGAAACCACACAGCUACAAAACCAAUGCCUUUUAUAGUUAGCGAGAUGCCAGAAAUCGCUUUUUGAAUCCAAUCUGUAAACAGGAAGUUAUUAUUGACUCUUUUGUCUGAUGCAGGAGGUUGAGCUGAAACAGACUCUCGUUUUUUUGUUCUUGUGAGACUGUCAGCUACAACUGCAGCACUCAAUAAAUGAAUAAUGAAGAGAGAAAUUGUCUUACCUAAGCAUAAGUAAUCACCCUGCAAUAUAAGCCUGUUUUGCAAACAUUACAGAUUUCACUUUCACUAAUUAUGCGUCUGAUGCUUAGUGUCCAAUCUGUGUUGCUUCUUGAUGUCCCUGAUGGAAAAAAAUGACAUGAGCUCCUGGAUUAUAUUAUUGCUUCCUCCUAUAAAACAUAUUGCAAGGCUACAAUCCUAGGGAAACAAUUUAUGUGUGGCACAAUGUGAACAGGGCUAUUGGUAGAACUUGAGUCGCUGUGACUGUUUGUUUCAUAGAGUGGCCUUUUUGAAAAGGCAGACUAUGGAAAACCAGAGUCACAGCAGAAGACAAAUGAGGCAUAAUGCACAGACAGUUAAGAGAUGAAAUUCUUAGCACAUCGCACGACAAUGCGGAGAACUUGCAUUAAUCCAGAGAGGAAAUUGUUGUUGAACAAGUCAAGGCUCAUCUGUGAUUAUUAAUUUCCAUCCUGACCUGUAAAAAAAACGUCCUUUCUUACCAGUUACUGUAUAUAUUACUCACGGGAAAAACCACAGACUGGUAUGAAUAUGUUUGAUAGCUGGACCUGACAUUGAAACAUACAGCAAGACAGAAACAACAUAACAGUUUCAUAUAUUUUAGAUUGUUGUAAUACAAUGGAAAAUAACAUUUAACUCAAGUCAAUCUCUUACCAGUUCCCUCAACUUUAAGGCAUUUUUAAACCUCAGCCUCUUCAUGAUUCAAUAUUAAACCAUACAGACGUUUCAUCUAGUCCAAACCCAUUUGUCGUUUUCUUCGGUUAAUUAAAAAAAAAACAAUGCCAUUGAUCCUAGCACAUCAUCAGACGCUACACCAAGGAAACUUUUCAAACGAAUUUUCCUACGUAAUAUCUCUACAGAAAAUGUGUCUCCAAUGCAAAACAGUGCUUGCAAAAGAGUAACUUCCCAC